UUGUUAUUUAAAAGAUGGUUCUGCUAUCACUAAGAGAUGGUCCCGCGGUGCAUUAGCUAGUUGGUAAGGUAAUGGCUUACCAAGGCGAUGAUGCAUAGCCGAGUUGAGAGACUGAUCGGCCACAAUGGGACUGAGACACGGCCCAUACUCCUACGGGAGGCAGCAGUAGGGAAUCUUCCACAAUGGGCGAAAGCCUGAUGGAGCAACGCCGCGUGUGUGAUGAAGGGUUUCGGCUCGUAAAACACUGUUGUAAGAGAAGAAUGACAUUGAGAGUAACUGUUCAAUGUGUGACGGUAUCUUACCAGAAAGGAACGGCUAAAUACGUGCCAGCAGCCGCGGUAAUACGUAUGUUCCAAGCGUUAUCCGGAUUUAUUGGGCGUAAAGCGAGCGCAGACGGUUAUUUAAGUCUGAAGUGAAAGCCCUCAGCUCAACUGAGGAAUUGCUUUGGAAACUGGAUGACUUGAGUGCAGUAGAGGAAAGUGGAACUCCAUGUGUAGCGGUGAAAUGCGUAGAUAUAUGGAAGAACACCAGUGGCGAAGGCGGCUUUCUGGACUGUAACU
rnacentral:rRNA from 1 species